UUUUUUUUUUUUUUUUUUUUGGUCUUUUUGCCUAUUUCUAGGGCUGCUCCAGAGGCAUAUGGAGGUUCUCAGGCUAGAGGUCUAAUCGGAGCUGUAGCCGCCAGCCUAUACCACAGCCCACAGCAACGCCAGAUCCGAGCCACAUCUGCGACCCACACCACAGCUCAUGGCAAUGCCAGAUCCUUAACCCACUGAGCAAGGCCAGGGAUCGAACCCGCAACCUCUUGGUUCCUAGUGGGAUUUGUUAACCACUGCACCACGGCGGGAACUCCAGGAAGAAUUUUUUAAGCAGAAAGAACAGCGAGGGCGGAGGCUGGGAACACGCCUGACAAGUGUGAGGGACCAAAGGAAACCACUGCGUCUGGGGCACGAUGACCGCUUCUCCCAGCUGAGUCCUAUAAGCGAAAGUCCUGAGUUGGUGAGAUUGAUUUUUUCCCCAAAUUAUCUCUUUAAAAAAACGAAAAAGCAUCCUUUCUGUUAGUUGACGUUUUCCCAGAUUCUCACACUGCAGGGCACUCCAACCAAUACUUGAGUCACUGCGUUCUAGCUGGGGAAGCCACAGGAGCCUGAAAUGACCCACUGCAGGCAGGUUUGGCCAGAGCAUUGAAGCCAGAUGCAAUCUACAGUCCCGCUGGACUGCUGAACGUCAUUAUAAACAAGUCUUUGAACAUCACGUCAAAAAGCAAAACAGUAGGUGAUUAUGUCAUAGAGACCACGGUUAAAACCUGGGGGAGUGGGAAAGGGUCCGAAUAUGCUUAAGACAAAAUUCUCACAGAGGUGCUCACACAUAGACUCAAAAGUGCUUCAUGGAGUUCCCCAUGUGGCACAGUGGGUUGAGAACCUGACUUUGUCUCUGCAGCAGCUCCGGUCACUGCUGAGGCUUGGGUUCAAUCCCCAGCCCAGCACAGUGGGUUAAGGACCCGGGUCGCAGCUGCAGCUCAGAUUCAGUCCCUGGCCCAGUAAUUUCUAUAUGCUGCAAGUUCUGUCAAUAAAAUAAAAAUAAAAUAAAAUAAAUCCUGCUCCAUCUCAGACCAUGUAAAUAAAGAUUAAAGAAAUGCGCUCUUAGAACUUGCUUCUCAUUCUGCUGUCUUUGCCCUCCGGAGCUUGUUCAAAGUGGGGAAUCAUGAAAUGAUGCAGUUAUACACACAUAUAUAUCUAUUUUUCUCAGAUCCUUUUUUUUUUUUUUUCUUCUUUUUGCCUUUUCUAGAGCCGCUCCUGCGGCAUAUGGAGGGGUUCCAGGGUCUAUCCAGCUUGAGUUCACCCCCUUCCUGUGUUUGGGGUCCCCGAGACCCCCUCAGAAGGAAUCACAGGACUCAGAAAAGCUGUCCCAUGGUUUAUUACAGGGAAAGGGUACAGACUUUUUUGUUGUUGUUGUUGUCUUUUUGCCAUUUCUUGGGCCGCUCCCAUGGCAUAGGGAGGUUCCCAGGCUAGGGGUCGAAUUGGAGCUACAGCUGCCGGCCUACGCCAGAGCCACAGCAACGCGAGAUCCCAGCCGCGUCUGCGACCUACACCACAGCUCACGGCAACACCAGAUCCUCAACCCACUGAGCAAGGCCAGGGAUCGAACCCACAACCUCAUGGUUCCUAGUCAGAUUCGGUAACCACUGCGCCACUACAGGAACUACCCAGUACAGACUAUUUUAAAGCAAAGAUAAAAGGUGCUGGGGUCCCUGUUGUGGCUCAGUGCCAUAAGAACCCGACUAGUAUCCAUGAGGAUGUGGGUUUGAUCCCUGACUUCUCUGUGGGUUAAGGAUCCGGCAUUACUGCAAGCUGCGGCGUGGGUUGCAGAUCAGCUCAGAUCCAGCAUGGCUGUGGCACAGGCUUGUAGCUGCAGCUCCAGUAUGACUCCCUAAUCUGGGAACUUCCUGUGCCAUGGGCGUGCCACCCCCCCCCAAAAAAAAGAUAGAAGGUGCACAGAGUGAGUCCAGGAGAGACUGGCAGACCUCCCAGCUGCCCCUCCCCCAUGGAGCCACGCCAACCGCAAUUAACUUUCCCACAUGGAUGUGACAUGUGCCAAGUGAUGCCACAGAGAAGCUUGUCCAGGUCGUGGUGUCCAGGGUCUUUAUUGGAGGCAGUUGGGGGGUGCCUCCUAUCUAGCUAUUCAGCCCCCAGCCCCCAGAGGUCAACGGAUCUAGGGUGGCCAGGGCCUGGGUUGUUCAGAGACCUUGCUCUCGGGCAGGAGGCUCAGCCGUUCAAAGGCCAGAGUUUUGAGCACUCCAAGGCUUUCCCGCACACCCCAUACGCCAAGUUCAAAGGCUCCCCUUUUUUCAUUCAUUCACAAAGACAGAAGGUGACUAAACAGCAUGGGUGGCUGUGCUGUUUAUGGGAGGCAGAAGAGAUGGUUAGUGUGACAGACGCUGAAUCGAUGCUCCAAUCCCAAGGUCACUUGCGGAGCCUAGCAGGUGCAUAUGCUGAAGGGGAGCCAUCUGCCCUCAGGCUCUGUGCCUGUCCUGUGCCACUUGGAGCUCCCUCUUGGAGCUCCCAGGCAGCCCUAUUCAUGCUGAGGCUGGUUCUGGGCACAGAACGACCGAGGGAUGUUAGCCCAGAGAGGGAAGGUUAACCCACCGGGCUCCCCCACAGCCCUCCCAUCCAUCAGUCCGUCCCUUCCAGCUGCCCUUCAAUCCCAAAUACUUGCCCCAGAAACAGCAGGAGACGGCUUAUGGAGUUCUGGGGCCAGGGAUCAGAUCCGAGAAACACCGGAUGCUUAACCCACUGUGCCCGGCUGGGGAAUCCAACCUUCCUCCCAGUGUUUCAGAGACGCUGCUGAUCCCAUUGAGCCACAGCAGGAACUCACUCUCGACUUUCUCAGCUCCCCAAAAUGUUCUCCGUCCACAGAACGGCUGUGCUGAUGCCCAGGUGAGCGUCCAGCUUCAAUGAGACCAUCCACCUGGGGCUUCCAAGCACUCCGCUCCAUUCCCAGUGAAACGUCUGCCCCUGGGACCCCUCCAGGCUCAACAUCCCGCUCCCCCCAGCCACACACACACCCCACUUCACCCCACCCCUCCCGUGCCCCUGGAUCUCUGCAGGCUACACACCAGUCAUCAAAUGGAUGCUCCCUUCCGGCCUCGCUGCAGGCUGCCUUCUGCACUGAAAUGCCCUCCCCCGCCUAGGGAAGCCCUGAUGGGGCCUGAGACACCCCGGUGGCCGCUACACCAUGUGGUUAAUGUCCUGCCCCACACAGAGCCCAGCCCCACAGACCCCAGCCAGGAGAUCCCGGAGGAGACGGAGACAAGCCCAUCUGGCAAGAAGCUGCUGCCUAAAUCUGGGACCCCCAGUGGCCUGCUACAUGUCCCCGUGCCUGGGGCAGUGCGAGUUACCUCAAACAGGAGCAGGUGGGGACAGAGUGCCCAGCAGCCCCUGACACGCUCCAUCUUUAUCCAGCACUUGGGGGGCCUGAGUGUGGAGCUGUGUGUUCAGGCUCCAUCCACAUCCUUGGAGGAGGGGACCCAUCCACCCACUGCUGCAAUGGCACUGUCCUCCCUUGGGGGCAUGGGUACAGCAUCUAAGGGGGGCUGCCUGGAGCUCAGCAGAGUCUCUGGCUGGAAGAGAAUACUGCCUGCAUAUGCGUGUGUGUACGUGUGCAUGUGUGCGUGUGUGCGUCUGUACCCACCUGGGCCUGCCACACACUCGGGGCCAAAGUACAGAGCUUGCAGGUGCACUCAUUGCUGAGCACGACGCUAGACCCCACGGGGACCCCAGCCACUCAGACGGGCCCACCUCCAUCACCUGGACACCAGCAUCACCAGAGUCUGGCCUUGAUGAGACUCGGGCAGCAAAGAUGACCUGCCAAGGAGGGCUGUCUGGUGCUGGCUGUCGGCCACCAGGAUCACUGUCAGCCAAGAUUCUGCACAAGCACCACCUCUUCAGUGACCCCAGCCCCGGGGACCCGCUGCUCUGCGCCUCCCGGGCAUCCGGGAAGAUUCUGUUCUCCCGCCAGGAUCUCCUGGUGCUCAACCAUGGCUCUCAUGAGACUUUGCAGGAGCUAAGUCUUCCUCAGAGUUGUACCCCUGUCACCAAUCCAUCCGCCCUGUGAGAGUCGAAGGUACGUCCACGUCGGGUGUGAGUGUCGGCCCUUGGGUCACGACAGGGACCGAAGCAGAGGCACCAGCCCUCAGGAAGCAUCCAACUGCUGUGCUGUGGCGGGCACUCAGUAAAGGCUGAGAAAGAAAAACACCAAAGUAUGGAAGUUCUAUGUAUAGAUUUCUAAGGUAUCUCCAAACUGUUCUCCAUAGUGGCUGUACCAGUUUACAUUCCCACCAACAGUGCAGGAGGGUUCCCUUUUCUCCACAGCCCCUCCAGCACUUGUUAUUUGUGGACUUAUUAAUGAUGGCCAUUCUGACUGGUGUGAGGUGGUAUCUCAUGGUAGUUUUGAUUUGCAUUUCUCUUAUAAUCAGCAAUGUUAAGCAUUUUUUCAUGUGUUUGCUGGCCAUCUGUAUAUCUUCUUUGGAGAAAUGUCUAUUCAGGUCUUUUGCCCAUUUUUCCAUUGAUUGAUUGGCUUUUUCGCUGUUGGGUUGUAUAAGUUGCUUAUGUAUUCUAGAGAUUAAGCCCUUGUCAGUUGCAUCAUUUGAAACUAUUUUCUCCCAUUCUGUAAGUUGUCUUUUUGGUUUCUUUUUGGUUUCCUUUGCUGUGCAAAAGCUCUUCAAGUGCAAUCCCACUCUUGGGCAUCUAUCCAGACAAAACUCUACUUAAAAGAGACACAUGCACCCGCAUGUUCAUUGCAGCACUAUUCACAAUAGCCAGGACAUGGAAACAACCCAAAUGUCCAUCGACAGAGGAUUGGAUUCGGAAGAUGUGGUAUAUAUACACAAUGGAAUACUACUCAGCCAUAAAAAAGAAUGACAUAAUGCCAUUUGCAGCAACAUGGGUGGAACUAGAGACUCUCAUCCUGAGUGAAAUGAGCCAGAAAGACAAAGAUAAAUACCAUAUGAUAUCACUUAUGACUGGAAUCUAAUAUCCAGCACAAAUGAACAUCUCCUCAGAAAAGAAAAUCAUGGACUUGGAGAAGAGACUUGUGGCUGCCUGAUGGGAGGGGGAGGGAGUGGGAGGGAUCGGGAGCUUGGGCUUAUCAGACACAACUUAGAAUAGAUUUACAAGGAGAUCCUGCUGAGUAGCAUUGAGAACUUUGUCUAGAUACUCAUGUUGCAACAGAACAAAGGGUGGGGAAAAAAAUGUAAUUGUAAU
rnacentral:lncRNA from 9 species